rnacentral:precursor_RNA from 14 species
UAUAUGUUGCACGAGUUGUGUGCAGUGCCCUAUUCAGAUUGGUGCCGGUCACAUGAAGUACAUAUGACUGGCACCAUACUGGAUAAUGUAAUGCUCACUGUAUUCUUCAUGUGAUUU